rnacentral:rRNA from 1 species
GACGAACGCUGGCGGCGUGCUUAACACAUGCAAGUCGAACGGAAAGGCCCUGCUUUUGUGGGGUGCUCGAGUGGCGAACGGGUGAGUAACACGUGAGUAACCUGCCCUUGACUUUGGGAUAACUUCAGGAAACUGGGGCUAAUACCGGAUAGGAGCUCCUGCUGCAUGGUGGGGGUUGGAAAGUUUCGGCGGUUGGGGAUGGACUCGCGGCUUAUCAGCUUGUUGGUGGGGUAGUGGCUUACCAAGGCUUUGACGGGUAGCCGGCCUGAGAGGGUGACCGGCCACAUUGGGACUGAGAUACGGCCCAGACUCCUACGGGAGGCAGCAGUGGGGAAUGGUGCACAAUGGGCGGAAGCCUGAUGCAGCAACGCCGCGUGCGGGAUGACGGCCUUCGGGUUGUAAACCGCUUUCGCCUGUGACGAAGCGUGAGUGACGGUAAUGGGUAAAGAAGCACCGGCUAACUACGUG